rnacentral:misc_RNA from 1 species
GAUGAAGAACGCAGUGAAAUGCGAUACUUGGUGUGAAUUGCAGAAUCUCGUGAACCAUCGAGUCUUUGAACGCAAGUUGCGCCCGAAGCCAUCAGGUUGAGGGCACGUCUGCCUGGGCGUCACAUAUCGUUGCUCGAUGCCUAUCGCAUUGCGAUAGGACUUAGGGCGAAUGAUGGCUUCCCGUGAGCGUUGUUGCCUCGCGGUUGGUUGAAAAUCGAGUCCUUGGUAGGGUGUGCCAUGAUAGAUGGUGGUCGAGUUAGCACGACACCGAUCAUGUGCAUGCUCCCCAAAAUAUGGCCUCUGUGACCCACACGCGUCUUUUGACGCUCAUGACGAGACCUCAGGUCAGGCGGGGCUACCCGCUGAAUUUAAGCAUAUCAAUAAGCGGAGGA